UACGUAGGGUGCGAGCGUUGUCCGGAAUUAUUGGGCGUAAAGAGCUUGUAGGUGGUUUGUCGCGUCUGCUGUGAAAAUCCGGGGCUCAACCCCGGACUUGCAGUGGGUACGGGCAGACUAGAGUGUGGUAGGGGAGACUGGAAUUCCUGGUGUAGCGGUGGAAUGCACAGAUAUCAGGAGGAACACCGAUGGCGAAGGCAGGUCUCUGGGCCAUUACUGACACUGAGAAGCGAAAGCAUGGGGAGCGAACAGG
rnacentral:rRNA from 1 species